rnacentral:lncRNA from 1 species
GAACUUGAAAGUGUGUGGAACAAAGGCUUAUGUUGCUCAAUCGCCAUGGAUACAGAGUGGCAAGAUAGAAGAGAAUAUACUAUUUGGUAGAGAGAUGGAUAAGGAAAAGUAUGAGAAGGUUCUAGAAGCAUGUUCAUUGAAGAAAGACCUCGAGGUUUUACCAUUUCGUGAUCAAACCAUUAUUGGAGAGAAAGGAAUCAAUUUGAGUGGUGGACAGAAACAAAGAGUACAAAUUGCUCGUGCUCUUUACCAAAAUGCUGAUAUUUAUCUGCUCGACGAUCCCUUUAGUGCAGUUGAUGCUCAUACAGGAUCCCAUCUCUUUAAGGUAUUAUGUUUUGAUCUUUGUUAAUAUCAGUACAAUCUGUUUUAAUCUUCUUGACAAUCCCUUUAGUGCAGCUGAUGCUCUUCUAUUUUGUGACAAAAACUUACGUGGAAUUUUAUUUCUUAGCGUAUUGUCUAUAUAAAUUCCAAUACCAUAUGAUGCACAUGGAUACCGUUAUAACAUCAAAGAUUUGGAUUUUUCUUAUUCCUAUGAUAUUCUUCAAUGUUCCAAUAGAAUUACACUAGUUUUGUUGUGCAUCAGAUGGCAAGGUUGUAUCGAACUCUACAAUUAACUUCUGUACUGUUUCAGGAGUGUUUGCUUGGCCUUUUGAAAACAAAAACAGUGAUAUAUAUAACACAUCAAGUAGAGUUCUUACCUGAUGCUGAUCUGAUACUUGUGAGUGAUUCAAAUAUUUCAUCAUGCACAUAAAUUCAAAGUUUCAAACAUUAUAGCUUACUGUUUUAUUAAUACUAUUAUCUUUCUUACAAUCCAUUUAGGUCAUGAAAGAAGGAAGAAUAACACAAUCAGGAAAAUACAAUGACAUUCUUACAUCGGGAACAGAUUUCAUGGAACUUGUAGGCGCACAUAGAGCCNAAUAUACUAUUUGGUAGAGAGAUGGAUAGGGAAAAGUAUAAGAAGGUUCUAGAAGCAUGUUCAUUGAAGAAAGACCUCGAGGUUUUACCAUUUGGUGAUCAGACCAUUAUUGGAGAGAAGGGAAUCAAUUUGAGUGGUGGACAGAAGCAAAGACUACAAAUCGCUCGUGCUCUUUACCAAGAUGCUGAUAUAUAUCUGCUCGAUGAUCCCUUUAGUGCAGUUG